CUGCAAUAUUAAAUUUAGGUAUUAUAUACUAUUUACUGUACAAAGAAUGCAAUGACAUUAUACUUUUAUCUUUAUCUUCUCUGGAAAUUGAUGAGUUUGAUGGAGAGUGCAAA